CUUCAAAUAGACUCUCUCUGUCGCUCGCUUCACCGUUCCCCCAACAACCUCUCGUCGACGGGGGCGGCGGCCAGGCAGAUCCGGUGCUUCCCUGGUGGACGACAGCUACUCCCACGGCACCUGCUCCCGGCCUCGUCCCCUUCUACUCCGGCAUCCAUGUCUCUUGGGGCCGUCCCCAGGGCACCCAACAUCACGUUGCGCAUCGUCGUCAGCGACCGGGCCGCCGCUGCCGCCACGGUCUCCUCCUCCCUGGUGGUCGCGGGCGGUCCGCCCGCUCAGCUGCAUAUUCUAGAUCUGGAGGCAACCUGGUACUGGUCUAGUCCGCCGUGAUGCUGCCACGGUCUCCUCCCCGGUGCUCCUAGAUCCAAUAAUAUCUCACCGGAGGCAAGCCGGUGGUGCUCGAUCUCCUCGCCUCCUUCACCUCGCAGGAUCAGCAGCAAGGUUUGAUCUCUCCCAGCACAAGAAGCUUGAUGAGCAAUAAGCAGUAGUAAUGGAGGCAGAUGCAAUAGCUUUUCUGUUGUGUGCCGUCAAGUAGCAAAAGUUGAUGCAAUGCGAUUAUUUUGGUCCUUCAUAAUUAGUUUUGCAUGAGAUGUACCGAAAAUGAUCCUCGCUUGCUAUAUUACACUUGAUAAGUUAUGUAUGUGUGUCUCUUCUGUUGUGUUUGGUCGGGGAUCGUGCAAUUUGAAAUGUAUGUUUAGUUAUGAUUUCAAGUGGAUAGAUUAAUGUUCUCAUGUACUCUAAUAUUGGUGAUGAUCUUCACAUACUUUUAGUGACCAGCAUGCUCAAAUGUAUGGAUUUCUUGCAUGGUCCUUGA